AGUGAACGCUGGCGGUAGGCCUAACACAUGCAAGUCGAACGGCAGCACAGUAAGAGCUUGCUCUUACGGGUGGCGAGUGGCGGACGGGUGAGGAAUACAUCGGAAUCUACUUUUUCGUGGGGGAUAACGUAGGGAAACUUACGCUAAUACCGCAUACGACCUACGGGUGAAAGCAGGGGAUCUUCGGACCUUGCGCGAUUGAAUGAGCCGAUGUCGGAUUAGCUAGUUGGCGGGGUAAAGGCCCACCAAGGCGACGAUCCGUAGCUGGUCUGAGAGGAUGAUCAGCCACACUGGAACUGGGACGCGGUCCAGAAUCCUACGGGAGGCAGCAGUGAGGAAUAUUGGACAAUGGGCGCAAGCCUGAUCCAGCCAUACCGCGUGGGUGAAGAAGGCCUUCGGGUUGUAAAGCCCUUUUGUUGGGAAAGAAAAGCAGCAGGUUAAUACCCCGCUGUUCUGACGGUACCCAAAGAAUAAGUACCGGCUAACUUCGU
rnacentral:rRNA from 1 species